rnacentral:lncRNA from 1 species
AAAGGGAGAAAAUGAGGGGAGGAAGAAAAAUGAGAGCUUUUAUAGCUAGGUAUAUAGAUAAAACAGUGUCGUUUUGGGUGAGGGUGUUUUGGCAACUAAAGAGCUUGAAACGGCACCGUUUCGGAGGACGAAAGUUGAAUCCUUGAAGUGGGCAAGCGGGCUUUCUACUGAUCCGAUUUCCCCUUGAGCGGAUCUGGGCACA